AUUGAACGCUGGCGGCAGGCCUAACACAUGCAAGUCGAGCGGCAGCGGAAAGUAGCUUGCUACUUUGCCGGCGAGCGGCGGACGGGUGAGUAAUGUCUGGGAAACUGCCUGAUGGAGGGGGAUAACUACUGGAAAAGGUAGCUAAUACCGCAUAACGUCGCAAGACCAAAGAGGGGGACCUUCGGGCCUCUUGCCAUCAGAUGUGCCCAGAUGGGAUUAGCUAGUAGGUGGGGUAACGGCUCACCUAGGCGACGAUCCCUAGCUGGUCUGAGGGGAUGACCAGCCCAACUGGAACUGGUGCACGGUCCAGACUCCUACGGGAGGCAGCAGUGGGGAAUAUUGCACAAUGGGCGCCAGCCUGAUGCAGCCAUGCCGCGUGUAUGAAGAAGGCCUUCGGGUUGUAAAGUACUUUCAGCGGGGAGGAAGGUGUUGAGGUUAAUAACCUCAGCAAUUGACGUUACCCGCAGAAGAAGCACCGGCUAACUCCGUGCCAGCCGCCGCCGUAA
rnacentral:rRNA from 1 species